GCCGAGGUGGUGGAAUUGGUAGACACGCUACCUUGAGGUGGUAGUGCCCUUUUGGGCUUAUGGGUUCAAGUCCCGUCCUCGGUA
rnacentral:tRNA from 1 species